GCAAAUCCGGUGUUUCUCCGUGGCUUGACUAGUUGUUCCAUUCUUCAUUCUUCAUUGGCCUUGGCCAUCAAGGUGGCUUAUGAACACCUAAAUUGAUGCUCCAAAUGGAUAAUGAGAGCCUCUUUCCCAAGAGAAGAAAUCGGCAAUUGAACAAGAGGGAAUGGAAUGGAAGUAAUGAGAGGAAAGUGAGAGAUGGAAUGAAAGAAUGAUGUGAAGUGAGGGAUGCUUUGAAUGAUCAGCAAGGGG
rnacentral:lncRNA from 1 species